rnacentral:lncRNA from 1 species
GGGAACUCCACCUACUGCCUGUUGACCAAGCAUUAAAUAUUUUGGAGGUUCAAAAGCCUCUGAGCUUGUCAUAAUGGGCUUGCUUUCAGACCUCAAAAUCCCAGUACACCCUGAAACUAUGAUGCAGACAUUCAGAGGCAGCAGCACAAGAUUGCAGUUUUGGAACACUGAGCAAAGAAUUACCCAUCUGGGAUAUCAUUCUCCUCCGGGAAAGGGUCUCCAAUCACCUCUCAUAAGGAGACAUGUCCUGCUGCCUCACUGCGGUGGCCUCAGGGGUAAGGAAUCAGAACCCACCCAGUGUGAAGAAUAAACCUGGACUCUCGGCAACACAGGAAGAAAAAGCCUACAGUACAGAUACCACGGCGACAAGGACUCAAGGCCUCCUAGCGAGAUUACAUCCUUGUCAAAGGUUGGAAAGAGGGAAAGCUCAAACCCACCUGGGAAGGACCUUACCUGGUACUCCUAACAACUGAAAUAGCACUCCGGAAAGCCGAAAAAGGGUGAACCCACCACACAAGUGAAGAAGGCCCCACCUCUGGCAAAGUCAUGGACCAUCACUCCAGGACCAACAGCCUCAAAACUAACAUUCAAACGGAUGGCCAACAGAUCGUCUUCAGCAUGCACUCCUCUGGAAUGUAUUUUAAAGCACUGGGACUCCUUCAACCCUGAGACUUUGAAAAAAAAGUGACUCAUAUUCUAUUGCACAAGAGCAUAGCCUUCUUACUAUCUUGGGGACAGAUAAACCUGGCCCGCUGCGGGGAGCCUUGAUUUUAAUAUUAUCCAACAGUUAGAUCUUUUCUCCAAACAGAAGGGCAAAUGGACUGAGAUCCCCUAUGUACAGACUUUCUUUGCCCUGUGAAACAGCCCAGACCUUUAC